AGCGACAUGCAUGCAAAUACAUAUUUACCUCUCCCACCGUCUUCAUUUCGCUCUUCAGCGGGGUUUUCAGUAUCGCCGCUUUCAGUCUUUUUGCGCUGUGAACUUACUGUCCCAUUUAUGUAGGUGAUGAGCUGUAAUAUUUUUGUAGCAGUGUGUCCAUGUCCUUCAGAGCCAGCUUCUUCCUCUUCUGUUUAGUUUGGAUAACUAUGGCCCAGCUCUUAGCACAAGACGAAAAAGAAAAAACGACUGCACUAAAAGAUUUACUGUCCAGGAUAGAUUUAGACGAACUGAUGAAAAAAGACGAGCCUCCACUGGACUUUCCUGAAACUCUGGAAGGCUUUGAAUAUGCCUUCAAUGAGCAGGGCCAGUUAAGACAUACGAAAACAGGGGAGCCAUUUGUCUUUAACUACAAGGAGGACCUGCACAGAUGGAACCAAAAAAGAUAUGAAGCGCUGGGAGAGAUCAUUACAAAGUAUGUGUAUGAACGCUUGGAGAAAGACUGCAACCUGAAGAAGGAGAUCCUACCAGUUGAUGCGACUGAGGACGAACCGAAAAGCUUUGUUUAUGUGAGUGAGGACGCCCUCAGUAACCCAGAGAAGAUCAUGGUUCUCAUCCAGGGCAGUGGAGUGGUGAGGGCAGGCCAGUGGGCACGACGCCUCAUCAUUAAUGAAGACCUCAACAGUGGGACGCAGAUACCCUUCAUUAACCGUGCCAAAGAGGAGGGCUACGGGGUGAUUGUGCUGAACCCCAACGAGAACUCUCUGGAGGUGGAGAAGGUUUCGGAUCCAGCCAAGAAAGCAUCCCCGGAUGCCUCUGAUGAGCCGGCUGAAAAGAGAGAGAGGAAGGAGGAGCGGGAGAACAAGAAAAAGAAGGACUUCUAUGAGAAGUAUCGCAACCCGCAGAAGGAAAGAGAGAUGGAGCACAUCCCCAUACGAGAAAAUGGCAGUCCAGAAGAACACACGCUCUACGCCUGGGACCACAUCAUCUCGAAAUCACUCGCCAAAAACAUCUUCAUUGUGGCACACAGCUAUGGCGGCUUGUCUUUCGUCAAUUUGAUGAUUAACCGAGAAGCAGAAGUGAAGAGUCGCGUUCGUGCGGUGGCCAUGACUGACUCUGUCCAUAACGUCUGGCACCAGGAGGCCAGCAAGUCCAUUCAGGACUGGCUCAGAGAGCACUGCUGUAACUGGGUGUCGAGCCCUGAGCCUCUGGAUACUCUUGUGGACCCCAUGCUUAACGACUGCCCUCGUGUUUCAGCAGGUACUGAGAAACACGAGUUAACAUCGUGGAAGAGCUUCCAGUCCAUCUUUAAGUUCUUCAGCAAUGCCCUUAAAGAUCAUGAGGAUGACUCUUCUUCCAGUCCGGUCACCACACGCAGCUCCCACCGAAUCAAACAUGAAGACUUCUAGAGAUCACAACAUAGAGUCUAGUAUCGUUCCCUUUCUCCUAGUUCUGUUUCUCCUCUCCUUUUCAGUUUCUGAAAACAUAUUCCUCCUUGAAGCCCUCCUCCCAGUGUAUUGUAGGACUCUGAGGAGUGCAGGGUCAGGCUGUAUACAUCAGAAUAGCGUUUUGCAUUACUUCUGGAUGAGUGCAACUGUCAAAGCAAUAUGGCUUCACUGCUUGUGCCUCCUGUGGGCCGCUGUGUGGAUUUGGUGGUGGCCCAUCGGUGGCCAGAUUAAGGCUGACAGGCGGCGCCGCACACCGCCUCUUGAUGCACCUCUAAUUAUCCUGACAUUGUCCUGAACUGAGCUAAUGCCUGGGAAGCACCUGCACACACACACAACCAUGCCUGACAGGUCCUAGUGCCUGCCUGCAAAGUCUAUUUGGUUUCCUGUUGUUUUUUCUUUUUUCUUCCUUUCUUUUUGACGGGUCUCUCUAGCAGUCUCACUGGAGUGCUUAGAAACUUUGUAUGUCAGAUGCUAAUGGCUUACAAGUUAUUUGUUCAUACACAUAACACUUUAACAGGAAAAAGGCAACUUGCAGAGUCAAAUUCAAUGGCUAAAUUGAGACUAGAUUAAGAAUGAAUACAGUGAAGUAAGCUAUUGACAGCAUGACAGAUUGGAAGAACCCUCCUCUGUUUUUAAAUCCCUUAAAAUCUCCUGCGAGCAUGAGUUUUAGGAAUCUCUCCCUUUAAUGGAGCAGAUAUGUCAGUCAGGGAAUAUCUUCCUGUGUGUCAGGAUCAGGGAGAUUUAAUGGUAUCUGAAGUAUAAAAGCCAUUCCUUAAGAUGUUUGCUAAUUGAACCUGCCCUUUUAUUUUAUUUUAUUUAUAUUUAAUUUUUUUGGCAGAGUCCAUGACUAUUCGGACUGUUUUAACAUCUCAUUGUCAUCUUCUUCUAAUGCUAAAGCGUGUGUUAUGUUCCUGUCUCAGACGGGACAAGAGGCAUUGUCUCCUGGACAAUGUAGUAUUAGUGGAGGCUUAAAGAUAUGUCGCUCAGGCAUGUCAACAGAUCAGUCUGCUUUAGCUUGAAAGUAAUCUCUCAGUAAAAAGCUGCUCUGGUCUUGUCACUUUUUUAGAGAUUUAACUUGUCAUUAGAUAUUUAGAUUGCUCAAGGUAAGUAAUGUAAAUAAUUGUGCAUAUUUCAUAUAAUAUGUUUUAUCCAAAAAUAGAGAUAUAAGUAUAUCUGGGGGGAAAGCAAAGGCCCCAGAUGCUUUCAUGUUUGGAAACUAUUUUUACAACAAAUUAAACUUUUAAAAUAUCUGCAAAUUUUCAUUAAAAGCCACUGAUUAACUGCAAGUUGCUUAUAUAUGCUGUCAAAAAUAUUUCGCUCAGAUCUCAAUAUUGUUGCCUUAGGAAAAAAACAUACAAAGUUCUUACAUCUUUCUUUUUAUAUAUUUUAUUUUCAAGUAUAGCCUGACAAGCCAUAUGUGAAUAUCACUUGUGCUAGUCGCAGCCUUAAACCAAAUCGAAUUUAAUUGUUUUUUUUUUUUUAAUUAGGACUCAUUUUAACAAUUCAUGUUUUAAUCUAAGAGAUCUACCUUUUAUUGAAACAUUCCAGUCACUCUGAAGAGGUGUGCUGUUUGCUGCACAAGUGAAGUUGUUCACUAUGUAAGAUGUUUUCUCAUGUUUUUAUUCGCUUUAUAUUGGGAUGUAUUGAAAUUAAAUCUUGAUCUGAUAUUUCACUGUUCAUAACUAGUUAAAAUAUGUUUGUCUUUUGUCUUUGAAUUAAUGGCAGUUCGGUGCCCUGAUUUCUUCUUUGCCGUGUUAUUUGAAGUGCAUAAAACUAACCUGCGCACUUGCGAGUUGCAGUUUGGACACAUCAAACCUUGCACUUAAAGACACCGAUGCACAUGGUACUCUUAUUUACAAUGCAAUGAUCGUAAAGGCAUCACUUUCAACCCAAGGAGUUGUCGGGUUAAAGUUCAGUCUAACGGGGAAAAGAUCCUCGGAGCCCGAUAAAGCCUGUUGCUCCAGCGGCUCUCCUCUCAGCUCUGUUCCCAGGGAAGGUGACCCUGCUCGGAGAAUGACUCGCUCUUCUCACGUAACAGCUGUGGAACUCUAUCACGAAAGCUGAUAUUUGUGUCUAGAUCGAGUCCAGGCCUUUACAAUGAGACCAAUGUUAACCAAAAUAAGUGUCAGUCAAAGACGGAGAAGUAUCGGAUGAAGCCAUGUCUAUAGCACCUACUUUUUAUGUCCCGACUGCUUGUUUUAGACCUUACCUCGCAAACCUGCGGAAAUAAUGGCCUAAAAGUGACACGGUCACGGCAAAACUUUCCCGCGGAAAGAAACAAUCUCUUCUUCUGUUUGGUUUUGAUUAUUAAUUGUUCUGAGCUGUAACAACACAAUUGUAGUGUUUCCAAACCAGCUUUCGAUUUGUGUAAGGAUCAGUGCCAAUUAAGGGCUACAAUAAAAGGAAUUUUUUUAUUAAUAUUCUAAAUAAAAUUCGUUAAAACUUCUUUUCAUCCUUCAUAAAUACAAAUGAAGCGCCCCAAAAGAGCUUUUCUCGUGUUUCUUCUUGUCUACAAAUAGGGAAAUUACAGGAGGAAACAACAAGAAUGUCAAAAGAUAUGUUUUAAACAAAAUAAUGGCUUUACUCACAGAUGGGAGUUUUCCGUUUUAUGAUUUAUCAGUCACAUUAUAAAAAUGGUUUUGUUAUGUCAGUUAACGUUAGAGUGAAGUUUUUAACAUAGGAAAAAAUAAAUAAAAAAUAUAUAAAGAUUUUUUUAAUACUAUGCAAAAGCAGUGAACUUCAAAAGAGGAAAAAAGCUACAGAAACUAAAGGUAGAGUUUCUGUUUUCUUUUUUUAACAAUACAUUUAUAAAGAAACGACAACGUCUUUAUAAAUGAGAUUCCUCCGUUAUUAUGCAUAAAAUGUUUAUUGAGAAGUUGGGUAGGUUUACAUGAUAAUCUCGUUAAACAACUCAGUAAGCAUAUAAACAUAUCAUUAAAACCUUCGUUUUACAUGCUAUUAGAAUUUUCUAAAAGAUUACACAAAAAGCAGAUACAUUUAGGGGUUUCUUAUAGUCACAAACUAGUUUUGUUUUAUUUUAAUUGUUUUUUUUUUUCUUUUUACAAAUAGUGGGAUGUUGUUUAGCACCAAAAAAGUGUCAAAUGUUGGUUUAUUUUGUGCAAACACCCAUGAAUGAAUUGCGGACAAUAAACUUCUAAAAUAUCUCGCCUAAAAUACUUAGAACUCACUGCAUUGUAUUUAAUAGCGUACAGUGUUUAUUUAAUCUUCAACUUUUUUUGUCAUCCUUUCCACAUAUUUGACUCCAAACAUAUCGUAUUUGAAGUCUGCGUAGUCUUUGAUUGAUAUUUCAAUUUUAUCCGCGAUUUGUCCCGCACGCUCUCGUCUCCUCCCAUACUCUCAUGCCCCGCCAAAUAUGAACUAUUCUCAAAGAGCCGAGCACUUGCCGAAGCUGGACUGUCACUCCUCCAGGCCCUUGUCUUCGGGAGUACUUCACCAGAUCGCUGUCAGAUCUCUAUUUGCAUAAUUAUAUGCUCGGUUCUGAAGGGAAAUCUAGCCCCCAAAUUUUACGGGUCAGCAAACUGCAACAAUCAAUGUUUUAUUGUGUCCUGGCAAAGAAAAAAAACGAAUACAACUCUGUCUAAAAGUCUCCCUCUUUACUUUGACUUCGACUUAAAGUCUAUCUAUCUAUCUAUCUAUCUAUCUAUCUAUCUAUCUAUCUAUCUAUCUAUCUAUCUAUCUAUCUAUCUAUCUAUCUA